rnacentral:rRNA from 1 species
GGUAUGUAAAGCUCUAUCAGCAGGGAAGAUAAUGACGGUACCUGACUAAGAAGCACCGGCUAAAUACGUGCCAGCAGCCGCGGUAAUACGUAUGGUGCAAGCGUUAUCCGGAUUUACUGGGUGUAAAGGGAGCGCAGGCGGUGCGGCAAGUCUGAUGUGAAAGCCCGGGGCUCAACCCCGGUACUGCAUUGGAAACUGUCGUACUAGAGUGUCGGAGGGGUAAGCGGAAUUCCUAGUGUAGCGGCGAAAUGCGUAGAUAUUAGGAGGAACACCAGUGGCGAAGGCGGCUUACUGGACGAUAACUGACGCUGAGGCUCGAAAGCGUGGGGAGCAAACAGGAUUAGAUACCCUGGUAGUCCACGCCGUAAA